rnacentral:rRNA from 1 species
UUUACGGAGUAAACGGCUGCAUAAAUCUGAGUGUACUAAGGUAGCGCUAUAAUUUGCCCUUUAAAUGGGGGCUGGUAUGAAGGGGUUCACGUGAAAGUUGCUGUGUCAUAGAAAACAUGUUGAAAUUAACUUCCAGGUGAAGAGGCCUGACUACUUGUAAAGGACGACAAGACCCUAGAAGCUUUACUUAAAACAUUAUUGUAUUUCAAUAUGUUGAAGUUUUGUUGGGGCAACAAAGCUAGAAAAUAUAGCUUAUCAAACUUAACUUACAGGUUUAAACCACAUUAGUGGAUAAGAUAAGUUACUCUAGGGAUAACAGCGUAAUUUUUUUUAAUAGUACGUAUUGUAAAAAAAGUUUGCGACCUCGAUGUUGGAUUAAGGUUUCCUUAAGGCGCAGAAGCUUUAGAGGGUUGGCCUGUUCGUCCAUUAAAACCUUACA